rnacentral:rRNA from 1 species
CGAAGGAUGCAAGCGUUAUCCGGAUUCAUUGGGUUUAAAGGGAGCGUAGGUGGUCUUAUAAGUCAGUGGUGAAAUCCCUGGGCUUAACCCAGAAAUUGCCAUUGAUACUGUAGGACUUGAGUAUAGUUGCCGUUGGCGGAAUAUGACAUGUAGUGGUGAAAUACAUAGAGAUGUCAUAGAACACCGAUUGCGAAGGCAGCUAACGAAACUAUAACUGACACUGAGGCUCGAAAGUGUGGGGAUCAGACAGGAUUAGAUACCCUGGUAGUCCACACUGUAAACGAUGAUUACUCGCUGCUAGAGGGUAACUUUUAGUGGCUUAGCGAAAGCGAUAAGUAAUCCACCUGGGGAGUACGCCGGCAACGGUG